UACAGAGGGGGCAAGCGUUGUUCGGAAUUACUGGGCGUAAAGCGCACGUAGGCGGCUUGGUAUGUCGGGUGUGAAAUCCCCGGGCUCAACCUGGGAACUGCAUCCGAAACUGCCUUGCUCGAGUAUGGGAGAGGGAAGUGGAAUUUCCGGUGUAGCGGUGAAAUGCGUAGAUAUCGGAAGGAACAUCAGUGGCGAAGGCGACUUCCUGGACCAAUACUGACGCUCAGGUGCGAAAGCGUGGGGAGCAAACAGG
rnacentral:rRNA from 1 species